CCAUUUACUUCUUUAAAUCACACACAUUUCGACACGUGUUCCGGGGUGCCUUGGCUGAAAAGCUCAAAGGUCGGAUGCAUGGGAGAUGUGGAGGCCUAAC
rnacentral:sRNA from 1 species